rnacentral:lncRNA from 1 species
UGGAAAAAGGACUGGGAGAACUUGCAAAGACAAGGCGAACCCACCGGAUCUGUCGAAGUUAAAAAGAUACAACUCGUGGAUAGCAUUGAAGACAAGAUAAUCAAAGACCUGAGACUGUCCACAUAUUCCUCUGCUGAAGAGAUGUUCAGAGUUCUUGGGAACAAAUAUGGAAAUAAGUCUGCAAUUGCACUUGAGAUACUCGAAGACUUGGAGAGAUUACCCCCUAUUCGAGGAAAUCAACCACGCAAGGUCAUUGAUCUCAUCCAGGCAGUUGAGAAGGCACUAACUGAUCUCAUUGAACUCGACAGCACCAGUGCAAUAAAGAAUCCACUGGCCAUACGAAAUAUCGAAUGCAAACUCCCUGAAUUUGUGAAACGAGACUGGAUUGUUCAUAUGAUGGAGCCAAGCAACGGCGUGACUAGCGAGAACCAUUUCGACAUGCUUGUGAGGUUCGUUAAAAGGCAGGAGGGUGUACUGGAAAGGUUGGAGCAGUUAAAAGUAACAGAGAAGCCUGACAACUUUCCAGCUAAAAGGCCAGAGAAAAGAUUUGCCUCAACCAAGACCACAAAAAGGGAGCUUGCAAAUACAUGUGGAUUGUGUGGUGAUGAACGGCACUACAACAAACUCUUCUACUGCAGGAAAUUUAAAAAUCUAAGUGUACCAGAGAAGAGAGCCACACUGAAACGACUAGGGGCGUGCAAGAUAUGUCUUGGUUGGCAUACAAGAAGGGAAGACUGCAAGGAUACCUACCUUUGCAGGGAUCAAAAAUGUAGAAAGGAGGGUCCUCCAGAUCAUCAUUACUUCCUUUGUCUAAAAGAAAGUGAAGCGCAAUCACAGAAGUAUUGUGAUUUGAAGAAGCAAAGCAGUGCAGCUAGGAGCAACCUUACUUCCGAGCAGGAAAAGUUCCUGGAAGAAUUGUCACCAGAAAUGGCUGAAAGAUGCAAGAAGGCAUUCACCAAUGCAAACACUCGGGUGGGAACUCCACCGUCGUCACAACUUCUGCGGAAAAAUGAACUUUCCGAACCUCCUGUCAUAUUAAUGCUCAUGGAAGUCACAGCAAACGCAGGGCAGAAAGUCGGAACGCUCAUUGACCUCGCUUCGGACACAAAUUAUAUCACGCACAAGGCUGCUGAACG